rnacentral:rRNA from 1 species
UGGGGAAUAUUGGACAAUGGGCGAAAGCCUGAUCCAGCCACGCCGCGUGUGUGAAGAAGGUCUUCGGAUUGUAAAGCACUUUAAGUUGGGAGGAAGGGCAGUAAGUUAAUACCUUGCUGUUUUGACGUUACCAACAGAAUAAGCACCGGCUAACUUCGUGCCAGCAGCCGCGGUAAUACGAAGGGUGCAAGCGUUAAUCGGAAUUACUGGGCGUAAAGCGCGCGUAGGUGGUUUGGUAAGAUGGAUGUGAAAUCCCCGGGCUCAACCUGGGAACUGCAUCCAUAACUGCCUGACUAGAGUACGGUAGAGGGUGGUGGAAUUUCCUGUGUAGCGGUGAAAUGCGUAGAUAUAGGAAGGAACACCAGUGGCGAAGGCGACCACCUGGACUGAUACUGACACUGAGGUGCGAAAGCGUGGGGAGCAAACA